UUUUCAGAUUUUUUCUACUAGAUCGAACUUGCUUUGGGUUUUCUUGUUCUUCGUGUGACGCAGGUUUCCUUCAUCAAUCUUCCGCCGCCAAACUUCCUGCCACACCACCGCCAUAAUCUUCCACCGCCACCAUAUCUUCCACCGAGUCCUUCUUCGAGUCCUACACCGAGUCCCUCUUGGAGUCCUACACCGAGUCCCUCAUCGAGUCCUUCAUCGAGUCCUACACCGAGUCCCUCUUCGAGUCUUACACCGAGUCCCUCUUCCAGUCCUACAUCGAGUCAGCAAAUUAUAGUUUUCAGCCGUGAGUUCGAGUCUGAGUCCAAUAAGGAGUGCUUUUGGAAAAUGUUUCAUCACAGAUCGAAUUUUGUUUAGAGAUCAAGUUGUUCGGAAAGUUAAAAAAAAAAAGAAAGGAAAGAAAAAAAAGGAAAGAAAGAAAGAAAAAAAAA
rnacentral:lncRNA from 1 species